rnacentral:rRNA from 1 species
AUUGAACGCUGGCGGCAGGCCUAACACAUGCAAGUCGAGCGGAUGAAGGGAGCUUGCUCCUGGAUUCAGCGGCGGACGGGUGAGUAAUGCCUAGGAAUCUGCCUGGUAGUGGGGGAUAACGUCCGGAAACGGGCGCUAAUACCGCAUACGUCCUGAGGGAGGAAGUGGGGGAUCUUCGGACCUCACGCUAUCGGAUGAGCCUAGGUCGGAUUAGCUAGUUGGUGGGGUAAAGGCCUACCAAGGCGACGAUCCGUAACUGGUCUGAGAGGAUGACCAGUCACACUGGAACUGAGACACGGUCCAGACUCCUACGGGAGGCAGCAGUGGGGAAUAUUGGACAAUGGGCGAAAGCCUGAUCCAGCCAUGCCGCGUGUGUGAAGAAGGUCUUCGGAUUGUAAAGCACUUUAAGUUGGGAGGAAGGGCAGUAAGUUAAUACCUUGCUGUUUUGACGUUACCAACAGAAUAAGCACCGGCUAACUUCGUG